AUUGAACGCUGGCGGCAUGCUUUACACAUGCAAGUCGAACGGCAGUGCGGGCUUCGGCCUGGCGGCGAGUGGCGAACGGGUGAGUAAUACAUCGGAACGUGCCCAGUAGUGGGGGAUAGCUCGGCGAAAGCCGGAUUAAUACCGCAUACGACCUGAGGGUGAAAGCGGGGGAUCUUCGGACCUCGCGCUAUUGGAGCGGCCGAUGGCAGAUUAGCUAGUUGGUGGGGUAAAGGCCUACCAAGGCGACGAUCUGUAGCUGGUCUGAGAGGACGACCAGCCACACUGGGACUGAGACACGGCCCAGACUCCUACGGGAGGCAGCAGUGGGGAAUUUUGGACAAUGGGCGAAAGCCUGAUCCAGCAAUGCCGCGUGUGUGAUGAAGGCCUUCGGGUUGUAAAGCACUUUUGGCGGGAACGAAAAGGACUGUGCCAAUACCACGGUUCGAUGACGGUACCCGCAGAAUAAGCACCGGCUAACUACGUG
rnacentral:rRNA from 1 species